rnacentral:rRNA from 2 species
AAAGUUUUUCUGCCGAAGGAUCGGCCCGCGUCUGAUUAGCUAGUUGGUGAGGUUAUGGCUCACCAAGGCGACGAUCAGUAGCUGGUCUGAGAGGAUGAUCAGCCACACUGGGACUGAGACACGGCCCAGACUCCUACGGGAGGCAGCAGUGGGGAAUAUUGGACAAUGGGGGCAACCCUGAUCCAGCCAUGCCGCGUGAGUGAUGACGGCCUUAGGGUUGUAAAGCUCUUUUCUCCGGGACGAUAAUGACGGUACCGGAGGAAUAAGCCCCGGCUAACUUCGUGCCAGCAGCCGCGGUAAUACGAAGGGGGCUAGCGUUGCUCGGAAUCACUGGGCGUAAAGGGCGCGUAGGCGGCUGAUUUAGUCGAGGGUGAAAGCCCGUGGCUCAACCACGGAAUGGCCUUCGAUACUGAUUGGCUUGAGACCGGAAGAGGACAGCGGAACUGCGAGUGUAGAGGUGAAAUUCGUAGAUAUUCGCAAGAACACCAGUGGCGAAGGCGGCUGUCUGGUCCGGUUCUGACGCUGAGGCGCGAAAGCGUGGGGGGCAAAC